CUUGGAGACGGCCUGGCGGAGGUCGUCGGCGGUGACGGGCUGGUCGGAGAUGACCCAGUCCCCGGAGGGGAACCGCGCGAGCGGGCGGCGGCCGAGGUCCAUGACGACCUCCACCAGGUCCCAGACCUCCGGGUGCAGCGCGAGCUCCCGCCGCAUCCUCGCCGGCACCACCUCGAGGAACGCCUCCAUCUCACCCCUGGCCCCGGCCCGCGCCUCGGGCGCCGGGGUGGCGACUGCCGGGGACACGGACGGCGAGGCGGGGCCCG
rnacentral:lncRNA from 1 species